rnacentral:lncRNA from 1 species
AAAUUAAAAACCAAUUGUUCAGAGAACAAUUGAAGGUCUUUCCACCAAUAAGGAUCUAUUUUGAUAUGAAAAUAUUAAAAUUCAGUUGAAAAUGUCAGUUCCUAUGGCUUAAUGAUGUAUAAAUAUGAAUUUUGAGCAAAGGUCAAAAUCUAGAACGUCAAAUUUACUGAUGACCUUGACCUAUAUUUCAAGGUCAUAAACCAGGGACCCCAAAUAAAAAGACCCUAGGUCUGUAAUAUGUAUAGUUAAUGAGUUAUAUCACUUUACGUUUAAUUCUUAAUAUAGGAGGGGCAAAAACUCCCAUUUUAUGUCUACACACCCUUUUAACCAAAAUAUAUAAGUUACGACAUGUCGCAACUAACAAUUUAGUAAAAAUAAUUUGUCGGUAUCUUAUAAGGUUAAUGAAAAUUAGUGAAAAUAGGCCAAAAUCAAAAUUUAGAAUAUGACCUUGACCUUUGACCUUUACCUAAUUUUCAUUUUUUUUGGACCAAUGAUCUCAAAACAAAAGACCCUAGGUCUCUAUCACUUAUGGUUUUCCAGUUUAGAAUACAUUUCAAAAUUUCAAAUACAAAAGGGGAA